CUCAGGGAGGUAGUGACAAGAAAUAACAACACUGGAAAUUUUAUUUCUAGUGAUUGGAAUGAUGGGAAUUUAAACCCCUUUCAGAGUAACAAUUGGAGGGCAAGUCUGGUGCCAGCAGCCGCGGUAAUUCCAGCUCCAAUAGCGUAUAUUAAAGUUGUUGCAGUUAAAAAGCUCGUAGUUGGAUGUCUGCUGGAAGCAAUCAGUCCGCCCUAUUUGUAGGGUGUGCACUUGAUGAAUUCUGGCAUCUAUGUCCCGAUAAGAGAGCGGGUAUGUAAUUAGCUGUUGGGCGAAAGUUCAAUAGCUGUUGCAUAUCCGUUUAUUGGGAUAAUACUGUUACUUUGAGGAAAUUAGAGUGUUUGAAGCAGGCUAAUUGCCUUGAAUACUGCAGCAUGGAAUAACAAUAUAGGAUUUCGGUUCUAUUUUGUUGGUUUCUAGGACUGAAAUAAUGAUUAAUAGGGACAGUUGGGGGCACUCGUAUUUAACUGUCAGAGGUGAAAUUCUUAGAUUUGUUAAAGACGAACUACUGCGAAAGCAUUUGCCAAAGAUGUUUUCAUUAAUCAAGAACGAAAGUUAGGGGCUCGAAGACGAUCAGAUACCGUCGUAGUCUUAACCAUAAACUAUGCCGACUAGAGAUAGGAAAAUGUCAUUUUGCUGACUU
rnacentral:rRNA from 1 species